AUUCCUCAAAAACAGGCGCAAAACUGGGAGCAAAGUUCCUUCUGAAUAAAGCAGGAUAACCGGACACACAGUGUAUGAUGGGCCCCAUGGGGGAUGUGGCUGAGUUUCUGAUUCGCAGUGUGACCUGAUGAGACUCAGGGAGCUACAGCUGCCGAUAUAGCACCAACUCCAACCUGCUCGUCUGGUAAGAACCAAGCAACCUCAUGGACCUGGUGGUAGCAGGAAAAGGAGCCGCACCAAGACCGAGCAGAUUUGGGCUGGAGAUUGCAGAGAAACCAUCUGAUGUGGAAGAAAGGGGCCGAGCGCAUCACGGGCUUCCUGGGGCUGCAGCUCCCGGCGCAGUUCCUCAUUCCCCUCGCACUCAGACCUCAUGCUUCAUGGAGCUGGGCACCGGGGUGUAAGAGGCAGCGCUGAGGGGCCCCUCCCUACCCGUGUCAUGGCGCCUGCUCUCACCAUC